UAGCUCAGCUGGUAGAGCACGACCUUGCCAAGGUCGGGGUCGCGGGUUCGAAUCCC
rnacentral:tRNA from 1 species